CCUACGGGAGGCAGCAGUGAGGAAUAUUGGUCAAUGGCCGUAAGGCUGAACCAGCCAAGUCGCGUGAAGGAAGAAGGAUCUAUGGUUUGUAAACUUCUUUUAUAGGGGAAUAAAGGUAUCCACGUGUGGAUAUUUGCAUGUACCCUAUGAAUAAGCAUCGGCUAACUACGUGCCAGCAGCCGCGGUAAUACGGAGGAUGCGAGCGUUAUCCGGAUUUAUUGGGUUUAAAGGGUGCGUAGGUUGUUUUUUAAGUCAGCGGUGAAAGUUUGUGGCUCAACCAUAAAAUUGCCGUUGAAACUGGAAGACGUGAGUGUGUUUGAGGUAGGCGGAAUGCGUGGUGUAGCGGUGAAAUGCAUAGAUAUCACGCAGAACUCCGAUUGCGAAGGCAGCUUACUAAGCCAUAACUGACACUGAAGCACGAAAGCGUGGGGAUCAAACAGGAUUAGAUACCCCAGUAGUC
rnacentral:rRNA from 1 species